rnacentral:rRNA from 1 species
GAUGAACGCUGGCGGCGUGCUUAACACAUGCAAGUCGAACGCGAAAGAGACUUCGGUCUCGAGUAGAGUGGCGCACGGGUGAGUAACGCGUGGAUAAUCUGCCCUCAUGACCGGGAUAACAGUUGGAAACGGCUGCUAAUACCGGAUACGCUCUGAAUGAACUUUUAGGGGAAAGACGGCCUCUGCUUGCAAGCUGUCGUAUGAGGAUGAGUCCGCGUCCCAUUAGCUGGUUGGCGGGGUAACGGCCCACCAAGGCAACGAUGGGUAGCCGAUCUGAGAGGAUGAUCGGCCACACUGGAACUGAAACACGGUCCAGACUCCUACGGGAGGCAGCAGUGGGGAAUAUUGCGCAAUGGGCGAAAGCCUGACGCAGCGACGCCGCGUGAGGGAUGAAGGUUUUCGGAUCGUAAACCUCUGUCAGAAGGGAAGAAAGUGCGUGGUGCUAAUCAGCCGCGCAUUGACGGUACCUUCAAAGGAAGCACCGGCUAACUCCGUGCCAGCCGCCGCAGUAA